UCCUGCAGACUAAACCUGGUGGAGACGCAAUCAUCAGGGAAUACAACAAAACCAAAAGCUUGACUGACAGCACCAGGAGAAAGAUGAUCAAGAUUCUUACUGCAGAUAUGACUGAAAAACACAGGAUGGAACAGUGACAUUGCUUCUAUUCUUCUUUUACUUCAUUUGAUCCCACCUUCACCACAAGGCAGAAAGAGACCUGGAAAGAUGUCCGCAUCUCAAGCAGAAAAACACCUCAUCAUCUUCAAAAAGUCCGGGACUAACAUACAAGACCACCUGGACUCCAUUGAAGAAAGCACACAGCCAUACCUGCUUGCCAUGGGUCUAAAGAAGAACAGCAUUCAUGGAUACAUCAUUCCCAACAAGAAAGCCAUACCGUGCAAAUCAG